AGGGAGGAGGGCGAGCUCCCUGCCGUCUUCCGCGGUCCCGAGCCCUCGUCCUUCUCCAGCCCGAGGUCAGAGAGAAGUCAUCAAGUUAAGAUGAGGUCAUGACAGUGGACCCUAAUCCAAUAUGACCUGGGUCCUUACAAGAAGAGAAGAGACAUGCACAGAGGGAAGAUGAAAUAAAGACACAGAGGGAGAACACCCCAUGACAGUGGAGGCAGAGAUUGGAGUGAUGAUCUACAAGCCAAAGAACUCCAAGAAUUACUGACAACAUCAUAAACUAAGAGAAUGACCUGGAAGAGAUUCUCCCGAGACCCUUGCCCUGCCCAUGCCCUGCCAAGACACUGAUUUUGGACUUCCAGCCUCCAGAAUUAUGAGAAUAAAUUUCUGUUGUUUUAA